rfam:Desulfitobacterium metallireducens DSM 15288, complete genome.
GAAGAUCCAGCCAGGGUAAGGUCUAGCCAACCGCCCUGUAUCGGGUCUUGGAAGUAUUGUAGUACUGGAAUGAUUUAAGCGUAGACAGAAAAUCAGCAAGGUAGAAUUGACGGGAUGGAAGCCAGCAGUGAAUGUAUAUUGAGCCUAGCCUAAGCGCU